GAUGACUUUGACAGGGAUGCAGGCCAGCCCUUCAAGACCAAAAAGGAAGUGCUGCUUGGAGCCCUAGCACGGUGCCUUCUUUGAUGUGAGCAUAUCAUUCUGAAUGGGCCUGUGCCAGUGUCUUCUGUGUUUCGCAACAGAUUCCAAAAUCCUUCAGAGAGACCUUGAGAGUGUCCUUGCAUCUCUUCUUCUGACCUCCAUAGCCUCUCAAACACGGAGCUAGCUCUGGCAAUGU